GGUUCUCCCCGAAAUAGCUUUAGGGCUAGCCUCAAGGUGAGAGAUACGGAGGUAGAGCACUGAAUGUCCUAGGGGGUAUUGCACCUACCGAAGACUAUCAAACUCCGAAUGCCGUCAUCUUAUACUUGGGAGUCAGACUGUGGGUGAUAAGAUUCAUAGUCGAAAGGGCAACAGCCCAGAUCGUCAGCUAAGGUCCCUAAAUGUAAGUUAAGUGGUAAAGGAUGUGGGAUUGCACAGACAACCAGGAUGUUGGCU
rnacentral:rRNA from 1 species